AGCGAACGCUGGCGGCAGGCUUAACACAUGCAAGUCGAGCGGGCGUAGCAAUACGUCAGCGGCAGACGGGUGAGUAACGCGUGGGAACAUACCUUUUGGUUCGGAACAACACAGGGAAACUUGUGCUAAUACCGGAUAAGCCCUUACGGGGAAAGAUUUAUCGCCGAAAGAUUGGCCCGCGUCUGAUUAGCUAGUUGGUGAGGUAACGGCUCACCAAGGCGACGAUCAGUAGCUGGUCNGAGAGGAUGAUCAGCCACAUUGGGACUGAGACACGGCCCAAACUCCUACGGGAGGCAGCAGUGGGGAAUAUUGCACAAUGGGCGAAAGCCUGAUGCAGCAACGCCGCGUGCGGGAUGAC
rnacentral:rRNA from 1 species